ensembl:antisense 2810455O05Rik RIKEN cDNA 2810455O05 gene
UGUUGCGUAAUCAGGGUGAUUGGCACAGUAGCCCAGGUUGUUGAGAAUCACUCUUUGUAAAGCCAUGCCUUGAAAGCCUGCAUUCCCUACAUCGUCAAACAGCACCCGACAAUCUCAGAAAGACAGGUGGGGGAGGGACACAGGACCCCCCCCCCAACCCUGGCCAUCAGACUUGCUCAGAAAACAGAUGUGCAUCCUUUUGCAUACGUGUGUAGAAGUGCAGGCCGGGGUGUGCUGAGAUGCCUGGUGGUAUCUUUACCAAAUUACCCGCCCCCCCCCCCUUCUCAGAACAGGGUUUGUCUGUGUAGCCCUGGCUGUCCUGGAACUCUGUAGACCAGGCUGGCCUCGAACUCAGAGAUCCGCUUGCCUCUGCCUCCCAAGCACUGGGAUGAAAGGCAUGUGCCGCAUUCUUUUUACACAGAGCACAAACGAUCAGGACUUUGGAGAACAUUCAAUGUUCAUACCUCGCAAAUAAAGUCAGUAUGAAUUAGUGGUGACUCCCCACACCUGAGUCCCUAAUGUUUAGGGUUCAAAUUUUCUCCUUUAAAAAAGACGAUGAUUACUUUUUGAACCUAUGAGAAUUUUAAUUAAUUGAUCUUAACUUUUUCCUAUUCUAGGAGCAGUGAAACAAUUUAAAAUUAACUUCUAUGCUGGAAACAUCUGAAAAUGUUUGAGAAUCCAGUCAUAUUUAAAAUAAACGACAUACAAGUCUUUUUUAAAAAUCUGAUUUUAAGGUCUUAAUUAAAACCGUUUUCCGUAAGCGUUUUCAUUUUCUGUGCUACUUUUACUUGAGGAUUAAACAGAAUAUUGAACUAAGGAUGCCCAGCUUGGCUACAAUGACGAGAAUGAGAAGAAAAUAGAAAUGUAUUCUUACACUGUGCGUUUAGAGGAUGUCUGAGCACUUGGGUUGGUCUUGUGCCCGCUUCUUCUCCCUACCCCGAGAGUUCCUAAUACAUUUAUACACUUUUGCAGGUAACCUUAGGCAUCUUACCUGCUCACAGUGCAGCGGCACAUGCCCGUUUCAGCCGCUAGGCAACAUCUUUGCAGUUGUGUCUCACUGAGGGUUGCCUGCUAAUUCAAAGGUCUGUGCUAACCUCACAAGAGCGAGACUAAAUGGCAAGAGAGGAGAGCGAGCAAGGGUGAUAGGUGUUUGCUUGGCACGCAGGAGGCAUUGGGGUCUCCACAUGGCAGGAGACAAAGCAGCGAUAAAAACAUCUUUAAAAGACUUUGCAAAUGGAACAGGACUCCCUGACACAGAGGACACCGGAAAUGUUAAUUGGAGAGGAGCAAGCAGGAGGCCCAGUGCAGGCGAGGGUGAGAGUUUGCUUUCCUGGUAAGUUAACUCCUCAAGAAAACCAGGAUAGCUGCAUGAUCUACUUUCUGGAUUAAGCCAGUGCUAUCCCAUGGCCAAUUCUGCAGUUCCUGACCCAGGUUUGUACAAGACACAGUUACAUCAGACAUAGGACUCAUAUCACGAGAUGGAUGUUCAGCUCCUGGGACAAUCCCUGCUGGGCCUCUCGAAUAUGACCACACGCAGCACCCAAGUCAGCACCAUGGACAGCAUCCCAGGAACGCAGUAAUUAUGGACCUUUAAACACCUUUGUAGAAAAAUCUGAUCGGUGGGAACGUACAAGAGCUUUUAAGUAACUGAGAGUAUCUGAAGAUUUUUUUAAAAAAAAUCUCUACAAGAAGC